UACGUAGGUGGCAAGCGUUGUCCGGAUUUACUGGGCGUAAAGGGCGUGCAGGCGGUCUGUUAAGUGCAGGGUGAAAGCUCCCGGCUCAACUGGGAGAGGUCCUUGCAUACUGGCGGACUUGAGGGGGGUAGAGGAAAGUGGAAUUCCCGGUGUAGUGGUGAUAUGCGUAGAUAUCGGGAGGAACACCUGUGGCGAAGGCGGCUUUCUGGGCCCUACCUGACGCUGAGACGCGAAAGCGUGGGGAGCGAACCAG
rnacentral:rRNA from 1 species